AGGCGCGUUGGCAGAGUGGCCAUGCUACGGAUUGCAAAUCCGUCUACCUCGGUUCGACUCCGGGACGCGCCUCCAG
rnacentral:tRNA from 8 species